AAUUGAAGAGUUUGAUCAUGGCUCAGAUUGAACGCUGGCGGCAGGCCUAACACAUGCAAGUCGAGCGGUAGCACAGAGAGCUUGCUCUCGGGUGACGAGCGGCGGACGGGUGAGUAAUGUCUGGGAAACUGCCUGAUGGAGGGGGAUAACUACUGGAAACGGUAGCUAAUACCGCAUAAUGUCGCAAGACCAAAGUGGGGGACCUUCGGGCCUCAUGCCAUCAGAUGUGCCCAGAUGGGAUUAGCUAGUAGGUGGGGUAACGGCUCACCUAGGCGACGAUCCCUAGCUGGUCUGAGAGGAUGACCAGCCACACUGGAACUGAGACACGGUCCAGACUCCUACGGGAGGCAGCAGUGGGGAAUAUUGCACAAUGGGCGCAAGCCUGAUGCAGCCAUGCCGCGUGUGUGAAGAAGGCCUUCGGGUUGUAAAGCACUUUCAGCGGGGAGGAAGGCGUUAAGGUUAAUAACCUUGGCGAUUGACGUUACCCGCAGAAGAAGCACCGGCUAACUCCGUGCCAGCAGCCGCGGUAAUACGGAGGGUGCAAGCGUUAAUCGGAAUUACUGGGCGUAAAGCGCACGCAGGCGGUCUGUCAAGUCGGAUGUGAAAUCCCCGGGCUCAACCUGGGAACUGCAUUCGAAACUGGCAGGCUAGAGUCUUGUAGAGGGGGGUAGAAUUCCAGGUGUAGCGGUGAAAUGCGUAGAGAUCUGGAGGAAUACCGGUGGCGAAGGCGGCCCCCUGGACAAAGACUGACGCUCAGGUGCGAAAGCGUGGGGAGCAAACAGGAUUAGAUACCCUGGUAGUCCACGCCGUAAACGAUGUCGAUUUGGAGGUUGUGCCCUUGAGGCGUGGCUUCCGGAGCUAACGCGUUAAAUCGACCGCCUGGGGAGUACGGCCGCAAGGUUAAAACUCAAAUGAAUUGACGGGGGCCCGCACAAGCGGUGGAGCAUGUGGUUUAAUUCGAUGCAACGCGAAGAACCUUACCUGGUCUUGACAUCCACAGAACUUUCCAGAGAUGGAUUGGUGCCUUCGGGAACUGUGAGACAGGUGCUGCAUGGCUGUCGUCAGCUCGUGUUGUGAAAUGUUGGGUUAAGUCCCGCAACGAGCGCAACCCUUAUCCUUUGUUGCCAGCGGUUAGGCCGGGAACUCAAAGGAGACUGCCAGUGAUAAACUGGAGGAAGGUGGGGAUGACGUCAAGUCAUCAUGGCCCUUACGACCAGGGCUACACACGUGCUACAAUGGCAUAUACAAAGAGAAGCGACCUCGCGAGAGCAAGCGGACCUCAUAAAGUAUGUCGUAGUCCGGAUUGGAGUCUGCAACUCGACUCCAUGAAGUCGGAAUCGCUAGUAAUCGUAGAUCAGAAUGCUACGGUGAAUACGUUCCCGGGCCUUGUACACACCGCCCGUCACACCAUGGGAGUGGGUUGCAAAAGAAGUAGGUAGCUUAACCUUCGGGAGGGCGCUUACCACUUUGUGAUUCAUGACUGGGGUGAAGUCGUAACAAGGUAACCGUAGGGGAACCUGCGGUUGGAUCACCUCCUUA
rnacentral:rRNA from 1 species